rnacentral:tRNA from 1 species
GGUAUAGCUCAGAUGGUAGAGCUCAGGACAUGUCAUCCUGCGGUCGGGGGUUCGGGUCCCCCUAUC